rnacentral:rRNA from 1 species
GAUGAACGCUGGCGGCGUGCCUAAUACAUGCAAGUCGAGCGAACGGACGAGAAGCUUGCUUCUCUGAUGUUAGCGGCGGACGGGUGAGUAACACGUGGAUAACCUACCUAUAAGACUGGGAUAACUUCGGGAAACCGGAGCUAAUACCGGAUAAUAUUUUGAACCGCAUGGUUCAAAAGUGAAAGACGGUCUUGCUGUCACUUAUAGAUGGAUCCGCGCUGCAUUAGCUAGUUGGUAAGGUAACGGCUUACCAAGGCAACGAUGCAUAGCCGACCUGAGAGAGUGAUCGGCCACACUGGAACGGAGACACGGUCCAGACUCCUACGGGAGGCAGCAGUAGGGAAUCUUCCGCAAAGGGCGAAAGCCUGACGGAGCAACGCCGCGUGAGUGAUGAAGGUCUUCGGAUCGUAAAACUCUGUUAUUAGGGAAGAACAUAUGUGUAAGUAACUGUGCACAGCUUGACGGUACCUAAUCAGAAAGCCACGGCUAACUACGUG